AGUCGAGCGGAGAUUUGAAAAGCUUGCUUUUCAAAUCUUAGCGGCGGACGGGUGAGUAACACGUGGGCAACCUGCCCUUGAGACGGGGAUAACUCCGGGAAACCGGAGCUAAUACCGGAUAACACAUAUCUUCGCAUGAUGAUAUGUUAGAAGGUGGCUUUUAGCUACCACUCAAGGAUGGGCCCGCGGCGCAUUAGCUAGUUGGUGAGGUAACGGCUCACCAAGGCGACGAUGCGUAGCCGACCUGAGAGGGUGAUCGGCCACACUGGGACUGAGACACGGCCCAGACUCCUACGGGAGGCAGCAGUAGGGAAUCUUCCGCAAUGGACGAAAGUCUGACGGAGCAACGCCGCGUGAGUGAUGAAGGUUUUCGGAUCGUAAAGCUCUGUUGUUAGGGAAGAACAAGUAUCUGUUGAAUAAGCAGGUACCUUGACGGUACCUAACCAGAAAGCCACGGCUAACUACGUGCCAGCAGCCGCGGUAAUACGUAGGUGGCAAGCGUUGUCCGGAAUUAUUGGGCGUAAAGCGCGCGCAGGCGGUUCCUUAAGUCUGAUGUGAAAGCCCACGGCUCAACCGUGGAGGGUCAUUGGAAACUGGGGAACUUGAGUGCAGAAGAGGAGAGCGGAAUUCCACGUGUAGCGGUGAAAUGCGUAGAGAUGUGGAGGAACACCAGUGGCGAAGGCGGCUCUCUGGUCUGUAACUGACGCUGAGGCGCGAAAGCGUGGGGAGCGAACAGGAUUAGAUACCCUGGUAGUCCACGCCGUAAACGAUGAGUGCUAAGUGUUAGAGGGUUUCCGCCCUUUAGUGCUGCAGC
rnacentral:rRNA from 2 species